UGCAGUCGAGGGAGAAGCUAUCUUCGGAUAGUGGAGACCGGCAGACGGGUGAGUAACACGUGGGAACAUACCGAGUAGUGGGGGAUAACAGUUGGAAACGACUGCUAAUACCGCAUACGCCCUUCGGGGGAAAGAUUUAUCGCUAUUCGAUUGGCCCGCGUUAGAUUAGCUAGUUGGUAAGGUAACGGCUUACCAAGGCGACGAUCUAUAGCUGGUUUGAGAGGAUGAUCAGCCACACUGGGACUGAGACACGGCCCAGACUCCUACGGGAGGCAGCAGUGGGGAAUAUUGCGCAAUGGAGGAAACUCUGACGCAGCCAUGCCGCGUGAGUGAAGAAGGCCUUAGGGUUGUAAAGCUCUUUCAGACGUGAUGAUGAUGACAGUAGCGUCAAAAGAAGUUCCGGCUAACUUCGUGCCAGCU
rnacentral:rRNA from 1 species